rnacentral:lncRNA from 1 species
CGUCACACUUCUUUGCGUUAGUCAAGGGAACUGCAGAGCGAUUUCACCUAUAUUUCUGGACAGAGCGUUUUCGUUCAUUUAGUAUUUUAUCGUUCAUGCGUUCCCGAUUAAACACAUAUUUUAUGGCUGUAAUAGGACGUUGCAACGGAUAUUUUGGGAUGGGUUGUGCAGACCUUAUGUUAUAGCUUGCUCUGUGUGGACAUCACCGCCACCGUGGAAGAAAACGGCAGCUCAUGGCACCAGGCCUACACAAACUCGGGCCCCAGCCCCCUCCCAGCACCACCCGAACACUUGUGCAAGGCCUGCGGAGGCCAAUUUGACACCGUAAGAACGCAUGUCUGCGUGGACUGCAAAAACAACUUCU